GACGAACGCUGGCGGCGUGCCUAAUACAUGCAAGUAGAACGCUGAAGAGAGGAGCUUGCUCUUCUUGGAAGAGUUGCGAACGGGUGAGUAACGCGUAGGUAACCUGCCUUGUAGCGGGGGAUAACUAUUGGAAACGAUAGCUAAUACCGCAUAACAAUGGGUGAUCCAUGUCAUUCAUUUGAAAGGGGCAACUGCUCCACUACAAGAUGGACCUGCGUUGUAUUAGCUAGUAGGUGAGGUAACGGCUCACCUAGGCGACGAUACAUAGCCGACCUGAGAGGGUGAUCGGCCACACUGGGACUGAGACACGGCCCAGACUCCUACGGGAGGCAGCAGUAGGGAAUCUUCGGCAAUGGGGGCAACCCUGACCGAGCAACGCCGCGUGAGUGAAGAAGGUUUUCGGAUCGUAAAGCUCUGUUGUAAGUCAAGAACGAGUGUGAGAGUGGAAAGUUCACACUGUGACGGUAGCUUACCAGAAAGGGACGGCUAACUACGUGCCAGCAGCCGCGGUAAUACGUAGGUCCCGAGCGUUGUCCGGAUUUAUUGGGCGUAAAGCGAGCGCAGGCGGUUUGAUAAGUCUGAAGUUAAAGGCUGUGGCUCAACCAUAGUUCGCUUUGGAAACUGUCAAACUUGAGUGCAGAAGGGGAGAGUGGAAUUCCAUGUGUAGCGGUGAAAUGCGUAGAUAUAUGGAGGAACACCGGUGGCGAAAGCGGCUCUCUGGUCUGUAACUGACGCUGACGCUCGAAAGCGUGGGGAGCGAACAGG
rnacentral:rRNA from 1 species